GACAGGGGACCCGAGCGUUAAUCGGAAUCACUGGGCUUAAAGGGUGCGUAGGCGGAUCGCUAAGCGUCGUGUGAAAUCCCCCGGCUCAACCGGGGAACGGCACGGCGAACUGGUGGUCUUGAGGUAGGUAGGGGCGGACGGAACUGUAGGUGGAGCGGUGAAAUGCGUAGAUAUCUACAGGAACGCCGAUGGUGAAGACAGUCCGCUGGGCCUAUUCUGACGCUGAGGCACGAAAGCGUGGGGAGCAAAC
rnacentral:rRNA from 1 species